rnacentral:rRNA from 1 species
CCUACGGGAGGCAGCAGUAGGGAAUCUUGCGCAAUGGGCGAAAGCCUGACGCAGCGACGCCGCGUGAGCGAUGAAGGCCUUCGGGUUGUAAAGCUCUGUGGGGAGAGAAGAAUAAGGUCCGGCUAAUACUCGGACCGAUGACGGUAUCUCCUUAGCAAGCACCGGCUAACUCUGUGCCAGCAGCCGCGGUAAGACAGAGGGUGCAAACGUUGUUCGGAAUUACUGGGCGUAAAGCGCGUGUAGGCGGCUUUGCAAGUCGGGCGUGAAAUCCCAUGGCUCAACCAUGGAAGUGCACUCGAAACUGCAGAACUAGAGUCCUGGAGAGGAAGGCGGAAUGCUUGGUGUAGAGGUGAAAUUCGUAGAUAUCAAGCAGAACACCGGUGGCGAAGGCGGCCUUCUGGACAGUGACUGACGCUGAGACGCGAAAGCGUGGGGAGCAA